UUUUUUCUUCUUCUUCUCUCUAAA
rnacentral:sRNA from 1 species